UACGUAGGUGGCGAGCGUUGUCCGGAUUUACUGGGCGUAAAGCGCGCGCAGGCGGCAGUCUAAGUCCUCUGUGAAAUCACCCGGCUCGACUGGGUGGCUGCGGAGGAGACUGGGCAGCUUGAGGGGCCUAGAGGCCGGUGGAACUCCCGGUGUAGUGGUGAAAUGCGUAGAGAUCGGGAAGAACACCAGUGGCGAAGGCGGCCGGCUGGGGGCGCCCUGACGCUGAGGCGCGAGAGCGUGGGGAGCGAUCCGG
rnacentral:rRNA from 1 species